UACGUAGGCAGCAAGCGUUGUUCGGAAUUACUGGGCGUAAAGGGUGCGUAGGCGGCUUGGUAAGUGUGGUGUGAAAUCUCCCAGCUCAACUGGGAGGGUGCGCUACAAACUGCCGGGCUAGAGUGCGGGAGAGGAGAGUGGAAUUCCUGGUGUAGCGGUGAAAUGCGUAGAUAUCAGGAGGAACACCGGUGGUGUAAACGGCUCUCUGGACCGUAACUGACGCUGAGGCACGAAAGCGUGGGUAGCAGACAGG
rnacentral:rRNA from 1 species